rnacentral:sRNA from 1 species
AUGGACCACACGUACGCUCCGGUUCUGAGCGCGCCGCCCACACCCACCUGACGACUGCUCGCUACGUUCUGUUAGCC